UACAGAGGCCUCAAGCGUUGUUCGGAAUUACUGGGCGUAAAGGGAAUGUAGGUGGUUAUGUAAGUCAGAUGUGAAAGCCCUGGGCUUAACCCGGGAACUGCAUUUGAUACUGUGUGACUAGAGUGCGAUAGAGGAGAGCGGAAUUUCUAGUGUAGGAGUGAAAUCCGUAGAUAUUAGAAGGAAUACCGAUGGCGAAGGCAGCUCUCUGGCUCGUAACUGACACUGAGAUUCGAAAGCGUGGGUAGCAAACAGG
rnacentral:rRNA from 1 species